rnacentral:lncRNA from 1 species
AUGAAUCUCAAGGGCUACAACUUGUCAAGUGAGAAAAUUCGAAAAAAACUAGCAAACAUGUUAACUACUUAUAAGAGAGUGAAAGACAGGCGCCGUGCAACUGGGGAAGGGAAGAUCACCUGGGAGUACUAUACACUAAUGGAUGAGUUAUUUGGGUCAUCGGGGAUCGGUACUGCACCACCUGGCACCAUUCACUCCACACCUCUGGGUUUGGAAGAGACCACUUCCACAAGCAGGCCCACAACGUCUUCUCUUCAAGACCAGCGUCUUCUCUUCUAAUGACAAACUAAUUUUGUUCAAUAAAACAAAUUUCUUUAUUUCAACACAAAAUCUGUUUGUUUGUUUUAUCAUUUGUUGAAUAUUUCUGAACAUUCAAAUCUUUACUUUUCAUCUUUUGUUUUGUAUGUUAAGUAUACAGGUCCUUCUCAAAAAAUUAGCAUAUUGUGAAAAAGUUCAUUAUUUUCCAUAAUGUAAUGAUAAAAAUUAAACUUUCAUAUAUUUUAGAUUCAUUGCACACCAACUGAAAUAUUUCAGGUCUUUUAUUGUUUUUAUACUGAUGAUUUUGGCAUACAGCUCAUGAAAACCCAAAGUUCCUAUCUACAAAAAAUUUGCAUAUCAUGAAAAGGUUCUCUAAACGAGCUAUUAACCU